AUGUGAGUUGUCACUGUUAUGAUUUUGUCAUAAUCAAGACAGGCUAAACAUUCGCUAUAUUAAGACCAUGCUUGUGUCUCUGGGCCUAGUUUUGUACCCACCUAAGUCUGAUCUUAGAAAUGCUGGUGAUAAAU